UUUUGUAUAAUGGGUCAGCGACUUAUAUUCUGUAGCAAGGUUAACCGAAUAGGGGAGCCGAAGGGAAACCGAGUCUUAACUGGGCGUUAAGUUGCAGGGUAUAGACCCGAAACCCGGUGAUCUAGCCAUGGGCAGGUUGAAGGUUGGGUAACACUAACUGGAGGACCGAACCGACUAAUGUUGAAAAAUUAGCGGAUGACUUGUGGCUGGGGGUGAAAGGCCAAUCAAACCGGGAGAUAGCUGGUUCUCCCCGAAAGCUAUUUAGGUAGCGCCUCGUGAAUUCAUCUCCGGGGGUAGAGCACUGUUUCGGCAAGGGGGUCAUCCCGACUUACCAACCCGAUGCAAACUGCGAAUACCGGAGAAUGUUAUCACGGGAGACACACGGCGGGUGCUAACGUCCGUCGUGAAGAGGGAAACAACCCAGACCGCCAGCUAAGGUCCCAAAGUCAUGGUUAAGUGGGAAACGAUGUGGGAAGGCCCAGACAGCCAGGAUGUUGGCUUAGAAGCAGCCAUCAUUUAAAGAAAGCGUAAUAGCUCACUGGUCGAGUCGGCCUGCGCGGAAGAUGUAACGGGGCUAAACCAUGCACCGAAGCUGCGGCAGCGACGCUUAUGCGUUGUUGGGUAGGGGAGCGUUCUGUAAGCCUGUGAAGGUGUACUGUGAGGUAUGCUGGAGGUAUCAGAAGUGCGAAUGCUGACAUAAGUAACGAUAAAGCGGGUGAAAAGCCCGCUCGCCGGAAGACCAAGGGUUCCUGUCCAACGUUAAUCGGGGCAGGGUGAGUCGACCCCUAAGGCGAGGCCGAAAGGCGUAGUCGAUGGGAAACAGGUUAAUAUUCCUGUACUUGGUGUUACUGCGAAGGGGGGACGGAGAAGGCUAUGUUGGCCGGGCGACGGUUGUCCCGGUUUAAGCGUGUAGGCUGGUUUUCCAGGCAAAUCCGGAAAAUCAAGGCUGAGGCGUGAUGACGAGGCACUACGGUGCUGAAGC
rnacentral:rRNA from 1 species